GCCUGGCUGGCUCAGUUGGUAGAGAGUGUAACUUUUGAUUUUGAGGUUGUGAGUUCAAACCCCAUGCUGGGUG
rnacentral:tRNA from 1 species